AUUUAUACUAACUUACCAUGAAAUGCGAAUUUACGACCAAGAAACUUUCCUAACAACGGGAACACCACCAAACAUAAAACUCGUUCCAAUUGUUCAAUGGAAUCCUUUAAAUCAUCAUCCAAUUCACUAGAAUAGGUAUCAUCUUCUCCAUCUGAAAUUGGGUCAAUUUCAAGAUCUAAAACUUCGGCCAUGUUGUUUUCACUAAACUGACUUUAGA